rnacentral:lncRNA from 1 species
UUGGAAUCUCCUUGUAGUUAGUACAUCGGAUUCGCCUUCUAAAUUUUAUUUCCGAUUUUAUCCUCGUCCGCGCCCUUCAAAACCCUAAUCUUCGAACUCUACUGCACUCUCGACUCGAAUCUCUCGGCGCUAGCGUACCUACGGUAACUCCAAAUUUCAACCCCUGAAAAAUUAUCACACUAAUUUAUUAUAUUCUAUCUUCGAUUUUAUGAACAAUGUUCACAAAUCGGCAGUUCAUUUUCUAACUCGAGGCUUCUGACAAAGUACUAAUAUUUUUUAUUCUCUAUUAUUAUGUAACUUGAUUUCUAGUCGAGGCAAUUAUUUUUUUUUAUAAUGUUUUAUCGAUCAAUUUCUUGUACUGAUUUCGAAAAUGAAUUGUUGAAAAUAGCUAAAAUUUUAUGGUGACUUUACCCUUCAAGCGAAAUGGAUUAGUCGUGGUGAUUUUUGUAGCAGCAUUUUGAUGUUUUUUGCCUUUAAAACUUUUGUUGCUCCUUUCGUUUCAUGUUUGCAAUUUGCAUUGAAUUUAUCAAAUUCUUUGUCAUGGUUAUGUUCCUGCAAUCUUAGUAUUUUUGGAUAUGUUUAAAUGCGCCAAAUUUCUCGAGUUUGUGUGUGUGUGGGAAUUUUUUAUUUUUUAUUUGAAUUGUUAUAUUUUUAUGAUGCCAAUUGAAUUUCAUUAGGAAGAAUGAGUCGAUCAAGCAGAACCCUCUAUAUUGGCAACCUUCCCGGUGACAUUCGUGAGAGGGAAGUGGAAGAUUUGUUUUACAAGGUGAUUUUAUAUGA